UACGUAGGGUGCAAGCGUUAAUCGGAAUUCCUGGGCGUAAAGCGUGCGCAGGCGGUGAUGUAAGACAGUUGUGAAAUCCCCGGGCUCAACCUGGGAACUGCAUCUGUGACUGCAUCGCUGGAGUGCAGCAGAGGGGGAUGGAAUUCCGCGUGUAGCAGUGAAAUGCGUAGAUAUGCGGAGGAACACCGAUGGCGAAGGCAAUCCCCUGGGCCUGCACUGACGCUCAUGCACGAAAGCGUGGGGAGCAAACAGG
rnacentral:rRNA from 1 species